CCUACGGGGGGCAGCAGUGGGGAAUAUUGCACAAUGGGCGCAAGCCUGAUGCAGCCAUGCCGCGUGUGUGAAGAAGGCCUUCGGGUUGUAAAGCACUUUCAGCGGGGAGGAAGGCGGUGAGGUUAAUAACCUCAUCGAUUGACGUUACCCGCAGAAGAAGCACCGGCUAACUCCGUGCCAGCAACCGCGGUAAUACGGAGGGUGCAAGCGUUAAUCGGAAUUACUGGGCGUAAAGCGCACGCAGGCGGUCUGUCAAGUCGGAUGUGAAAUCCCCGGGCUCAACCUGGGAACUGCAUUCGAAACUGGCAGGCUAGAGUCUUGUAGAGGGGGGUAGAAUUCCAGGUGUAGCGGUGAAAUGCGUAGAGAUCUGGAGGAAUACCGGUGGCGAAGGCGGCCCCCUGGACAAAGACUGACGCUCAGGUGCGAAAGCGUGGGGAGCAAACAGGAUUAGAUACCCCUGUAGUC
rnacentral:rRNA from 1 species